rnacentral:lncRNA from 10 species
GGAGCGUUUAGGAGUCUCAACAUGUAAAGGGUGGUUGGAGUUUCAAAGAGCUGAGAAAGAACUUGACGAGGGAUGGCAGAGAGGUACGAAGUUCAGGAAAGUGAUGUCGUGAAGCCAAGGGAGAGAGAUGUGAGAAGAGAAUGGCAACAUGUUGAAAGUUGCACGGAGGUCAAAUAAAAGGGAAGACACCUCCAUACAUUUAGGAAAAAGCUGGAGGCAGAAACGAGACUGUAGUGCGUUGGAGAGUGAAUGGGAGAGAGAUGAACAUAGUGUAUAUGCUGGCCUAAGAAAGGCAAGCAAGAGAUUGGGCAGGACCCAGAGGAGAUGUUGGAUUGUGGGAGGUGUCUGCAUUCCUUCAAAAGCAGACCUUGAAACAGAAUUGAGUGCAAGUGGUUUAUUUUGGAGAUGAUCCCAGGAAACACCAAUAUGGGUGGCGGGUGAAGAAAGGAGACAUCAGUAAAGAAUAUUUCAGCAAGCAAGAUGAAUGUGGGAAUAUGGAGCUUAACUUUAUUGGGUAACCCUGGAAGACAGUAUGGACUGUGUAUUCAAAGUUAAUUCCCCAUUAACUUUGGGGAGCUGGGAUAUAUUUAUCCACCAAUUUUAGUCAUUGGUUGAGCUUCCGUUCCUUGGGGAUUGGGGAAGCAUUAAUUUCCCAGGCACCUUUAGCAGGCCAUGUGCAUGGGGAAAGGAGGCUCUGGCAGCCAGAUAAAGUCCUCACGUAAAAAGACAGGAGAUGGCAGUUGGAAGUUGGAUGAAAGUGAUGAAAAUGACACUGAAGAAUGAGCUGUAGAAGGAACAGAGAGUUAGAAGCUAGAAAAGUACAUGGAGAACCAUACAACUGUGGUGUCAUAAAAGACUUAUCUUCUGCUGUGUUACCCUGGUUGACUCCAGUUUGGCUUCUACUCCAUGGAAGAGGUUUUACAUUUCAUCUGGCCCUGUGAAUGUGGACUCCGUUUCUCCCCUCCCUGUGCUGACAUUUC